CCAGUUCCCUGCCAGCAGCCACAGAGGCAGGAUCUCCCCAAGCCAGGAUGCGAGGAGAAGCUUAACUGCAGGCACCUAGGCAACUGAUCCAAGACAAGAUCAGCAAUGGACAGAACAACCUGGAAUCCCCCAGCACUGGACAAAGACAAAAUGGCCAAUGGCCUCAAGGGAAGAGAGAGAGAGAGUGUGUAUUGAUCUGAAUGAAAAUAUACUCUUUAACUCAACUAAAUAAAAAAACCAAAAACAAACAACUCUACAAGAAUGGAGGCAACUGAAGCAAGAAUGAGUGGGAGAAGGGGACUCUUCACUGUUCCAGAUUUUAUGCAAAAUGCAGCAGGCACUCAGUACCCCAGGAAAGCAAUGCACAAUCACCUCCAGCUGUCACUGAGCACCUGCAACCUGGACUUGAGUCACCCAAAGGUGCAUUCAACUGUCAUCAUGGAGCUGGUAAAUCGGUUCUUGAACAGCUCCCUCCUACCAUCCAAGGUUGCCUGUGAAAUGCUUCAUGAAUCAUGGAGGCAAAAGAGAGAGAGGGUGUUCCAGAGUGGAUUGGAAGAAAAGGUAAAUGCUCACACUGUUAUCUCUUUGCUGGGAGUGGUACUGGCAGAAUUUCUCUGACUCAUCAAGAAAGCCGAAGUGGAGCUGUGGAGAAUUCUUGUAUGUGAGUCACUAGGAUCACAACUGCCUGACAAUGAUAACAAGAGGGCUGCCUGGUCUGUGAAAUCUUGGCUACCGACUGUAAGCAAGCUAUGGGAAUAUGGCCAUAGGUUUUAAGGGCACAAGCAAAGCAAUGGCUCACAUCCCAACUGCUCUGUGGGAAACACAGCUGGUAAGCCUUUUUAGUAUACUACCUUUGCAAGUUUUCCACAUGAUCUUUUGUGAGUCUGGGUCUACUGGUCUGCAUGAGCAAAGAAUAUACUUUGUGAUGCUUUGAAUGUAUUCUUGUAUAAGCCUCAUUUUACAGUUGUUACCUGUGUAAAAUGGUAAU